GCCGUAUUCUAUUUCCCUACACAAAUACAUGCUUUGGGAAGCUCGGAACCGGAGCGUCAAUGGUGGAUCAUCAGAGCUUCAGAGCUAGGGCUUGAAGGAGCAGGUUUCAGUCGCGGCGAUGGCGAGCGCCAAGGCCAAGAAGGAGAAUCUCGCUCUCUUGUUGGGGAGAUACGAAGUAGGAAGGCUUCUCGGCCAUGGAACCUUCGCGAAAGUAUACCACGCCAAGACCGUCAAGACGGGCGAAAGCGUGGCGAUCAAGGUCCUCGACAAGGAGAAGAUCUUGAAGAGUGGAUUAACCGCUCACAUCAAGCGCGAGAUCUCCAUUCUUCGCCGCGUUCGCCACCCGAACAUCGUGCAAUUGUUCGAGGUGAUGGCUACCAAAUCCAAAAUCUACUUUGUGAUGGAGUUUGUGAGGGGCGGCGAGCUCUUCAAUAAGGUGGCGAAGGGGCGGUUGAAGGAGGGAGUUGCGAGGAAGUAUUUCCAGCAAUUGAUCUCCGCCGUUGGGUUUUGUCACGCCAGAGGCGUUUACCAUCGCGACCUGAAACCCGAGAAUCUUCUCCUCGAUGAAAAUGGAGAUCUCAAGGUCUCUGAUUUUGGCUUAAGUGCUGUCUCCGAUCAGAUCAGGCAAGACGGGUUGUUCCACACAUUUUGUGGAACCCCUGCCUAUGUCGCUCCUGAGGUCCUAGUUCGAAAAGGGUACGAUGCGGCCAAGGUCGAUAUAUGGUCGUGCGGCGUGAUUCUGUUUGUAUUGAUGGCAGGCUAUUUACCAUUCCAUGAUCAGAAUAUCAUGGCCAUGUAUAAGAAGAUUUAUAAAGGGGAAUUUCGCUGCCCUCGGUGGUUCUCGCCGGAGCUCGUGCAAUUAUUGUCUCGUCUUCUCGACACAAAUCCGGAAACAAGAGUCACAAUUCCUGAAAUUAUGGAGAACAAGUGGUUCAAAAAAGGCUUUAAACACGUGAAAUUUUACAUUGAGGACGAUAGGCUUUGUAAUGUCCAGGAGGCGGAGGAGGAGGAUUUUGAAGCUUUGUCUGACCAAUCAAUGUCGGAGUCGGAGUCGGAGUCAGAGACUUGUAGAAGAGCAUCCAUACUGCCCCGGCCCGCGAGCUUGAAUGCAUUUGAUAUCAUAUCUUUCUCCCGGGGUUUCGAUCUUUCUGGGUUGUUUGAUGAAGGAGGGGAGGAUGCGAGGUUCGUGUCAGGUGCACCCGUGCCCAAGAUAAUAUCGAAAUUGGAGGAGAUCGCCAAGGUUGUGAGCUUUACAGUGAGGAAGAAGGAUUGCAGGGUGAGCUUGGAGGGUUCAAGAGAAGGGGUUAAGGGGCCAUUGACGAUUGCUGCAGAGAUAUUUGAGUUGACGCCUGCUUUAAGAGUGGUGGAGGUAAAGAGGAAAGCAGGGGACAAUGGAGAGUACGAGGAGUUCUGUAACCGGGAAUUGAGGCCAGGGUUGCAGAACCUUGCGCUGGAUGAAUCUGCCUCUCCUUCACACUUACCUUCGGAUACUGAAUAGAAUAAAAAGAGAGAUGGGUUUAUAGUAAUCAUGUCUGAAUUCUGUUCAUGAAAGUCGAACCCAAAUGAAGAGCUGAAGUCAUAUUAUUGCCAACUUGUGGAUUCCGAGCCAAGGGAUAAGACAAGCAGGAGGGAUUAUUCUAGCGAUUGCCAAAGGGUCCCCGUGAUGUGAAAAGUGCUGAGAAAUUUGGUAGUGAUGAAUGCAAUUUAGAGACUUGGAAAAUAUCAAUGACAACAAAAGAAGGAAGGAAAAGCAAAGAAUAAGAAAACUAAAAAGCACUUUGAAGAUGCUCUUUCGUGUUUGCAUUUUUAUUUUUAAAAAACUCCGCUGUCUUUUCCUAUGUCUUUUCCACUUGGUUUGGACGUCUUUUAGAUAUUUUUGGGGGCACUGUAAAGGGUUUGGGGGGUUAUUGCUGUCUCGCAAGAGAUUAAUAGCUCUGGCUGGUUUGCACUAAUUCACAUGUGAUUGAUGGUUUUUUGUAGGAUUGAUUUUCAUGGUUAUCUUAUACUCUGUUUG